rnacentral:rRNA from 1 species
AUGGUCAUCAAGGAGGUGUUAAGGUUGCAUCCUCCGGCUCCGCUGCUCGUCCACAGAGAGACGAGAGAGGACUGUGAAAUCAUGGGCUAUAACAUGCCUAAAGGAACUAAUAUCUUCGUUAAUGUCUUUGCAAUUUCUCGGGAUCCCAAAUAUUGGGACAACCCUGAAGAGUUCAAGCCGGAGAGCUUUGAGAACAGCAACGUCAAAUAUUAUGGGACACAUUUUGAAUUCACUCCUUUCGGGGCAAGGCGAAGGCAGUGCCCUGGGAUAUUGUUUGCCAUGUCGACCGUGGAGAUUGCCUUGGCAAACCUACUCUACCACUUUGACUGGGUGCUUCUUAGAGAGGAAGUGCAGAAUCAGUGGACAUGUCUGAGAAAUUUGGGGUCAGUGUAA